rnacentral:tRNA from 1 species
GCUGCUGUAGCUCAGCUGGUAGAGUGCAUCCUUGGUAAGGAUGAGGUCACGGGUUCGAUCCCCGUCAGCAGCU